CCUACGGGUGGCAGCAGUGAGGAAUAUUGGUCAAUGGACGAGAGUCUGAACCAGCCAAGUAGCGUGAAGGAUGACUGCCCUAUGGGUUGUAAACUUCUUUUAUAUGGGAAUAAAACAGGGUAUGCAUACCCUCUUGUAUGUACCAUAUGAAUAAGGAUCGGCUAACUCCGUGCCAGCAGCCGCGGUAAUACGGAGGAUCCGAGCGUUAUCCGGAUUUAUUGGGUUUAAGGGGAGGGAAGGCGGAAAGUCAAGUCAGCGGUAAAAUUUCGGGGCUCAACCCCGUCGUGCGGUUGAAACUGGCGUUCUUGAGUGAGCGAGAGGUAUGCGGAAUGCGUGGGGUAGCGGUGAAAUGCAUAGAUAUCACGCAGAACUCCGAUUGCGAAGGCAGCAUACCGGCGCUCAACUGACGAUCAUGCACGAAAGCGUGGGUAUCGAACAGGAUUAGAUACCCCUGUAGUC
rnacentral:rRNA from 1 species